CCCCAGACAGCAGGAAGUAAUUUUAAGAACAUGAUGCCCACAUUCCCAAGGGGUAAUAGGAACUAAUAAUUAACAGUAACAACACUGAAGAAAUCUUGAUAUGUAUCCAGUCUGGAAGGACUGAAGCCAAAAGGAACAUCCGUGUCCUCUGGAUGAACAGUCCAUUUUCACGUGGAUAUGCUGACUCAAUUUGAAUGGUGCAUUCUUGGAUCCCGGGAGGAAAGAG